rnacentral:lncRNA from 1 species
CUUGCUUGCAUUGGGUUAGAACAUGCUCCUUUAGCUUGAAGGGGUUUGUUAUUACCCACCUUCUGAAGCCUAGUUCUGUCAAUUCAUCAAACUCAUUCUCUCUCCAGUUUUGCUCCCUUGCUGGCAAGGAGUUGUGAUCCUUUGGAGGAGAAGAGAAGUUCUGGUUUUUGCAAUUUGCAGCCUUUUUGCACUGGCUUUUCCUCAUCUUCGUGGAUUUAUCUACCUUUGGUCUUUGUUGUUGGUGACCUUUGGAUGGGGUGUCUGUGUGAAUGUCCUUUUUGUUAAUGUUGAUGCUUUCUCUUUCUGUUUGUUAGUUUUCCUUCUAACGGUCAGGCCCCUCUUCUGCAGGUCUGCUGGAGUUUGCUGGAGGUGCACUCCAGACUCUGUUUGCCUGCCUAUCACCAACAGAGGCUGCAGAACAGCAAAGAUUGCUGUCUGUAACUUCCUCUGGAAGCUUCAUCCCAGAGGGGCACCUGCCAGAUGCCAGCCGGAGCUCUCCUCUAUGAGUGAAUGAAGGAGGGAAGAAAGGAGAGACAGAGAAAAUAUGGAUUUCCUCAUGGUUGUGAUUCCUCUUCACUCUUUUGAAUUUGGAAGGAUGGCAUACACAUCUGAAAAAUAGUAUUUGUGUCAGAGUAAGAAAUCUCUUUCUAGAUGUUUUUGCCAUAAAGUCAUAUUUCUGUGUUUUGGACAUCGCAUUUUGUGGUCAUAAAAUGGAAGUGAUUGUAAGGCCACGUAUUCAGCACAAUGACCUUGAUCCUGAAUGAAGUGGAGAGAGGAGAGAGAGAACAGCGUGACUAACAGCUCUUGUUGAAGCACAAGUAACUUUUUAUGUUCCACUCCACAAUGAUGAAAAAGUAAACACAGAGACAGGUUUUAGAUGUUGAUGGCUUUAUAUCAAAGUGAAAUAUAUUUGUCAUGUUCCAAAGUUACCUUCAUUAUCAUUAUUUUUAGAGGAAUGGUUAAAAGCAUAGGCUCUGGAAUCAAACAGCUUGGGUUCAAAUCUUGGAUCUUUCACUUCUUAGCUGCAUGACCUUCAUUAAGUUCUCAUCUGUAAAAAUAGGGAAAAUACGAGAAACUACUUCAUGGGAUUGUUACAAAGAUAAAGUGCAAUAAUGCAUGUGUCUGGCAUAGAGUAAGCUCUUUCAGUGUCAGUUAGUAUUAGCAUAAUUAAGUGCAGAAUGUUUGUAAAAUGUUAUCUAAAUUGUACUAUACUCGACCUGGUUUAAAGUAAGUGAAUGGAUAUCUGUGAAACUUUCUGAC